GCUUCCGGGGUGGUGGCGAGGGAGGCGGAAGUGCGGUGUUCUAGCAGGUGGCUGCUUUCUCUGGGCUGGCUGUGGGAGGCUCCCGAGGUGGGGACCCGGCCGGGAUGGCUGCAGCGGCGGCCGGGGCUGGGAGCGGGCCCUCGGCGGCCCAGGAGAAGCAGUUCCUGCCGGCGCUGCUGAGUUUCUUCAUCUACAACCCGCGCUUCUGGCCGCGGGAAGGAGAGGUUGUUCGGAAUCCUAUAAUUGAAAAACAGUAAAGAUGGAAAACCAGUUAUUGAAUAUCAAGAGGAGGAGUUGUUGGACAAGGUUUAUAGCUCGGUGCUGCAGCAGUGCUACAGCAUGUACAAGAAGUCUCAGGGGAUCCAGAACUGCAGCCAGUCCUUGCUGGGCUGUUCCUGUCCAUGUGCCUGGUCACGGUGCUGGGGAACCUGCUCAUCAUCCUGGCCAUCAGCCCUGACUCCCACCUCCACACCCCCAUGUACUUCUUCCUCUCCAACCUGUCCUUGCCUGACAUCGGUUUCACCUCCACCACGGUCCCCAAGAUGAUUGUGGACAUCCAGUCUCACAGCAGAGUCAUCUCCUAUGCAGGCUGCCUGACUCAGAUGUCUCUCUUUGCCAUUUUUGGAGGCAUGGAAGAGAGACAUGCUCCUGAGUGUGAUGGCCUAUGACUGGUUUGUAGCCAUCUGUCACCCGCUAUAUCAUUCACCAUCAUGAACCCGUGUUUCUGUGCCUUUCUAGUUUUGUUGUCUUUUUUUUUCUCAGUCUUUUAGACUCCCAGCUGCACAACUUGAUUGCCUUACAAGUGACCUGCUUCAAGGAUGUGGAAAUUCCUAAUUUCUUCUGUGACCCUUCUCAACUCUCCCAUCUUGCAUGUUGUGACACCUUCACCAUUAACAUAAUCAUGUAUUUCCCUGCUGC